GUGUACCUCUACCUUGCUUUGUCUGUCAGUCUCUCACCCUGUGUCUACUUCUGUCCCUCUGUCUCUCAUUGUUUGUUUCUCCCCCUCUCUAUCUACUUCUCUUUCUCUUUCCCUCUGUUACUCAUUCUGUGUCUCUCUUCCCCCAGUUCAAGGGACAAUAAAGGAAAAAUUCACACAUGCCUGUCAAGGCCAUACCAGAGGCAAGUUCUCGUUCCAGGCUGCAUCAGAAACAGAAAGUAGAGCUUCGGGCAGAAGAGAAGCCAGUUGGGAGGAACAAUGGAGGACAACUGGGAAGUCCAUUACCAGUCAUAACAAAUUAUUUAACUUGAGCCAAGUCAGACAUCGGGAUUAAACAAAGGCAAAGACUACAAAUGAGAACUGGGCUGUUUACAAUAAGAACUAGAGAACAACCAUGAACUAGGUGUUCAUCUUCCCACCUGUGAAAGGGAACUGAAGAGUUCUAGGAUGACCGUAUCUCAGAUAGUUGGGUUUCCACCUGUUCUCCUGCUUCUUCCACACAAAGUCUGCAAUCAAGUCCCAAAAGACUGUAACAAAGAUGCACAGACAGGGCAGGAAGUAGUGAAUUAUUUUAAAAUGUUUGUUCAGACUCAUUUAUAGAUGCUUGAAAAAUGUUCAUUCUUAAGUCAGAGGAUUUACUGAAUGAACA